GAUGAACGCUGACAGAAUGCUUAACACAUGCAAGUCAACUUGAACUUCGGUUUGGGUGGCGGACGGGUGAGUAACACGUAAAGAACUUGCCUCACAGAUAGGGACAACAUUUGGAAACGAAUGCUAAUACCUGAUAUUAUGAUUUUAGGGCAUCCUAGGAUUAUGAAAGCUAUAUGCGCUGUGGGAGAGCUUUGCGUCCCAUUAGCUAGUUGGAGAGGUAACGGCUCACCAAGGCGAUGAUGGGUAGCCGGCCUGAGAGGGUGAUCGGCCACAAGGGGACUGAGACACGGCCCUUACUCCUGCGGGAGGCAGCAGUGGGGAAUAUUGGACAAUGGACCAAGAGUCUGAUCCAGCAAUUCUGUGUGCACGAUGAAGUUUUUCGGAAUGUAAAGUGCUUUCAGUUGGGAAGAAAAAAAUGACGGUACCAACAGAAGAAGUGACGGCUAAAUACGUGCCAGCAGCCGCGGUAAUACGUAUGUCACAAGCGUUAUCCGGAUUUAUUGGGCGUAAAGCGCGUCUAGGUGGUUAUGUAAGUCUGAUGUGAAAAUGCAGGGCUCAACUCUGUAUUGCGUUGGAAACUGUGUAACUAGAGUACUGGAGAGGUAAGCGGAACUACAAGUGUAGAGGUGAAAUUCGUAGAUAUUUGUAGGAAUGCCGAUGGGGAAGCCAGCUUACUGGACAGAUACUGACGCUGAAGCGCGAAAGCGUGGGUAGCAAACAGG
rnacentral:rRNA from 1 species